AGACAAUAAAAUAUUUUUAUUAUGUCGAGGAAACUGUUUUAAGGAGUGAAAUUUCUUGAAAUAGCUCAGGAUCAAGUUCUCUUUUGGGAAAAAAUACAAUCAUAGGCUUCUUUGAAAGUUCAAAUUUUCUUGUGGAGACCCUAUUUAUAGUGUCCUCCCAGCAAAUAGCAUGGGAAAAUCUAAAAUAGACCUCUUUCAAUCUUCCGGGUGAGAAUGAAUUACGCCAAAGAUGGAUAUACAGCACUGGAGGGACAUGACUGAGCCUGGAUGACUCUAUUCAUGCUCUAAUCUAUACAGCGAAGAAUUAUCAUCUCUGAUACAGGCCACUACCCAAAAUCAGUGAUUGAAGCCUGGUGUCUAUUUUGAUACAGUCCUAACUGGCAUCAAUGUUGAAUCAUGUCUGUUACUCUGGUCGAGACUAUUCUACUCUGGCUGAACCAAGGCCGUACUCCAGCAUGGUUGUAUCAUGGAUGUCAUGAUUGUAUCAUGCUAGACUCAUUGCUGUGCAGGCUGCCCAAAAUCCAUGAUACAGGGCUGUGAUUCAAAUUCUUGGCUGUCAGUGGCUGUGUAUGUAUGAUAGAAAAUUAGAAUUUAGAAAAAGACAAAGGGCCAAAAAAUGGGCGGAGUAACAGCACUCUUUAACAAAUAGAGAUGAUGCGGUAAACUUGGGAAAUGUCAGUGUAUCAACCAGUGGAGAGGGCCCAUCACUUUACUGUACAGGUAGACGACAGCUUGUACAUGUGGGGUGGGAGGCAGUCUGAUUUUCCUGAAGUGCA